rnacentral:lncRNA from 1 species
GAUGUGUGAGAGUACUGGAACCCGUUGGCACUAAUUGGUCUCUUAUAGGUCUCUAUCACUUUACCUGAACAUUAAGAGACAAUCAGAAGAAAAAUGCCUGCCUCUCUAGACCGUGAUAUCAAUGGACCCCCAAGAUCUUUCCACACUAACAUGUGACUGCGUAAAGAAGACAAUGCGUUAUUUGCAAGGAAGAUGACAGCAUCAACAAUCUUAUUGACUGAGUGAAAAUGCUAAUAUUAUAUGCCAGUCACACUGCUAAACAAUCUUUAUCAGAAGCCUAUGUAAGAGGUAGUAUUUUAAGCUCAUUUCACAGAAGAUAAUGAGGCCAGGAAUGUUCAUUAACUUGUCCAAAGUCACACAGCAGGUAGCCGCGGGUGUGAAGUCCGACACACUCUCUCUGAGAUCCAGCACCUAGUCCAGACCUCUGUAUGGACCCCAUGCCCCUCUUUUCCUGAGACCAACAGGAGAACAUGCCCAGUGGCACAAAACUCGACAUGCUGCAGAGGGAAAAUCUCUAUAUUUCACCAGACAAUCCCAACAAUCUAAGAAGGACUGGAGAGACAACUUUUUUUUACUGGUGCCCUUGAGUUUGCAACAUGCAUUUACAAC